rnacentral:rRNA from 1 species
UACGUAGGGGGCAAGCGUUGUCCGGAAUCAUUGGGCGUAAAGAGCGUGUAGGCGGCCCGAUAAGUCCGCUGUGAAAGUCCAGGGCUCAACCCUGGGACGCCAUUCGAUACGGGAUGGCUAGAGGUAGGUAGGGGAAAGUGGAAUUCCGUGGUGUAGCGGUGGAAUGCGCAGAUAUCAGGAGGAACACCUGCGGUGUAGACGGGCUUACUGGACCAUAACUGACGCUGAGGCACGAAAGCGUGGGUAGCAAACAGG